GGGACCCUUGAUACAAGGCUUUCAUAGACCAGCCGGUGCUGAUGGGGUCCGGGACUUGACGAUGGCGCCUGCUCGUUCCUGUUGUGUUCUAUCUGAGGCAUGAUUUUCUUUCGUUUUUGGGAGGUAGAGAGCACGGGGCAGAGGUUGCACCUGACACAUUAGAACUCCGUUGUCACUGCUGUGGCUGUUAUUCCCCUCGGCAAGAGCCAAGGAGCAAACAGGACGUGAAGAUCCCGGUGUUACACAUCCAAUCGUUCACCUCCUUCCAAGACUAUGACAUUCCAGGAAACCUUCACUGCUAAGAGGAACUAAGAUCUAGAGUAUCUCCUCGAGGAAGUACAACUGACUUGUCUUUGGACAAAAUUGAGAAGAACUCAUAAACUUGGCUUCCUCGCUUCUGCUCCUCAGACGCGCGUGGAUGAUUUGAAGAUAUUAGCCUAACAAGAUGGAAGCAGGUUUAAAAUUUUACAUAAGAAGUUACCUUUUUCAGAUACAGUUAAGCUAAUGAUCUCGAGAGGAUAUCGUCCUGGAUAAGGGUGGAGCCUACGCCCAAAAACAAGAUUACCUGAAAGAGAAAAGAAAGGGGGAAAACACACAGAGAUACAGUCGGGGAGGCCACAUGAAGAUGGAGGCAGAGACAGGAGUGAUGAGCCUGCAAGCCAAGGAAUGCCAAGGGCUGCCAGCAGCCAUGAGAAGCUGAGAGACACAGAGAACGAGUCCUCUGCCAGAGCCUCCAGAAGGAACUAACCCUGUCAAUACCUUGAUUUCGGACUUCUGGACUCCAGAACUAUAACCCUCCUUCCUCCACCUCACAAAAACUCACAAGCUGCAACCCUUCUGAUGUCCACUCCCACACAAACCAGCUUCAGGCCUUUUUCAAGUGGAUGCUGUGGGGCACCACCUCCUUGAGGACCAAGGCACUCCAGCUGCCAGGAAUUUGGCUGCUAACCUCACACAGCUGAGCCUUCCAUGAAAAUUGCUCUCUGCCAAAGAGAACUUCCUAGUCCAAGGUCAUGUCUACUCUCCAGAGAUGUGACUGGAGUGAUUUGCACCCGGAUGCCUAGACUCGCCAUCUGCUCAAAGACUGCUCAGAAAGCCCUCCCAUGCAUUCCCCUGCUGCAUACCAGCCCACUCUGCCUGCAGCUGCUGUCUGCAGGACUUCAUAUCUAUGCCACACUGUGUAAAAGCUGUGCUUCAAGAAAUCACAAAAACAUUUUCCUGCACCUACUACACAGCCUGAGUGCGGCAUAAGUUGACCUUGCUUGCUAAGAAAUGGGGCAAGAAAUGCUUUUUUGUGUGUGUCAUGUCUGUUUGUUUUUCAAUUAAGAGAGGAAAGCAUUAGGCAGAUGGAAUGUACAUGUGAGGAUGAGGAGACAGAAAACAAGUAGCCCUUUCCAUCAAGAUAGAGGGUUUUCUGGGGUUGCUGGCUAUUGAAUGUCACUCCUGAUUUCUCUUUCCAAGGCACUGUACCACCAGCCUACUGAGAUUGUGUGGGAGCUUUCAUGGGGGUUGUAUUUCACUGAUGAAAAUAAAUUUUUUGCAUAAUGUGAA
ensembl:lncRNA MIR100HG mir-100-let-7a-2-mir-125b-1 cluster host gene